UACGAAGGGGGCUAGCGUUGCUCGGAAUCACUGGGCGUAAAGGGUGCGUAGGCGGGUCUUUAAGUCAGGGGUGAAAUCCUGGAGCUCAACUCCAGAACUGCCUUUGAUACUGAGGAUCUUGAGUUCGGGAGAGGUGAGUGGAACUGCGAGUGUAGAGGUGAAAUUCGUAGAUAUUCGCAAGAACACCAGUGGCGAAGGCGGCUCACUGGCCCGAUACUGACGCUGAGGCACGAAAGCGUGGGGAGCGAACGAGG
rnacentral:rRNA from 1 species